CAGCACCUCAAGUGGUCAGGAUGCUUAUUGGGCCUAAAGCAUCCGUAGCCGGCUCUGUAAGUUUUCGGUUAAAUCUGUAUGCUCAACAUACAGGCUGCCGGGAAUACUGCAGAGCUAGGGAGUGGGAGAGGUAGACGGUACUCGGUAGGAAGGGGUAAAAUCCUUUGAUCUAUUGAUGACCACCUGUGGCGAAGGCGGUCUACCAGAACACGUCCGACGGUGAGGGAUGAAAGCUGGGGGAGCAAACCGGAUUAGAUACCCGAGUAGUCC
rnacentral:rRNA from 1 species